GGAGAACCUCCCUAGAGGAGGAAGAAGUAGAACCCCCCAAAGGUGCGCAGGUGCUAAAGAAGUGAAAACCCCCUCUGCUAGGGGUUUGAAGAUGGGAGGCUGCGCUGUUUCCCUUUGUGUUUGAAUUGAAUCAAGAGUAGCUUUUUCCCUUCAAGUGAGAGAAAAACUCCUCCAUUAACGAAGUUCAUCGAAGUUAUACAAUUGACUAAUAAGUUGUUUGGGACAUCUAGAAUUUUUGUCUAAUAUUCAAUACUAAGAAACUAAGAAUAACUACUUGCAAGCUGAUAUCAACUACGUACAACCAUAUUAGAUUGGCUAUGGCUUAAAUAUGUUGGAGGUCCCUCUUAAAUAGGGGUCCUUUGGUUAAGGCCCCUAUAAAAUUUUUUGGGUGGAAUAAGCCCCUAAUGUGAAAAUAAUAUAUAGUGAUAAGCCCCUGCCGUGAGGUUCCAUUUACUUUCU
rnacentral:lncRNA from 1 species